UACGAAGGUCCCAAGCGUUGUUCGGAAUCACUGGGCGUAAAGGGAGCGUAGGCGGCGAUGUAAGUCAGAUGUGAAAUUCCAGGGCUCAACCUUGGAACUGCAUCCGAUACUGCAUUGCUAGAGUAGUGGAGGGGCGACUGGAAUUCACGGUGUAGCAGUGAAAUGCGUAGAGAUCGUGAGGAACACUAGUGGCGAAGGCGAGUCGCUGGACACUUACUGACGCUGAGGCUCGAAGGCCAGGGUAGCGAAAGGG
rnacentral:rRNA from 1 species